CAAGGAAUUUUCGUCAAUGGGCGCAAGCCUGAACGAGCAACGCCGCGUGGAGGAUGACGGCCUUCGGGUUGUAAACUCCUUUUCAGGGGGACGAUUGUGACUGUACCCCUGGAAUAAGGCUCGGCUAACUCUGUGCCAGCAGCCGCGGUAAGACAGAGGAGCCAAGCGUUGUCCGGAUUGACUGGGCGUAAAGCGCACGCAGGCGGCUCGGCGCGUGGGGUGUGAAAGCUGGCGGCUUAACUGCCAGAUGCCACCUCAUACGGCUGGGCUCGAGCCCUGCAGAGGUCCAUGGAAUUGCCGGUGUAGUGGUGAAAUGCGUAGAGAUCGGCAGGAACACCCAGGGGGAAACCAGUGGACUGGGCAGGAGCUGACGCUCAGGUGCGAAAGCGUGGGGAGCGAACCGGAUUAGAUACCCGGGUAGUCCACGCCGUAAACGAUGAAUACUCGGCA
rnacentral:rRNA from 1 species